UACGUAGGGGGCAAGCGUCGUCCAGAGUUACUGGGCGUAAAGCGCACGCAGGCGGUCGAUUAAGUUUGGAGUGACAGCUGGUGGCUUAACUGCCAAAGUGCUUCGAAAACUGAUCGACUUGAGGGCUUCAGAGGGACACGGAAUUCCGGGUGGAGUGGUGAAAUGCGUAGAGAUCCGGAGGAACACCGAAGGCGAAGGCAGUGUCCUGGGGAGUACCUGACGCUCAGGUGCGAAAGCCAGGGGAGCGAACGGG
rnacentral:rRNA from 1 species